CUUAUGCCGGCGACCGGCGGACGGGUGCGUAACGCGUAUGUAACCUACCUUUGACAGGGGGAUAACAUCGAGAAAUUGGUACUAAUACCCCAUAACAUCACCGGAGGCAUCUUCGGUGGUUGAAAACUCAGGUGGUCAGAGAUGGACAUGCGUUGUAUUAGCUAGUUGGUGAGGUAACGGCUCACCAAGGCGACGAUACAUAGGGGGACUGAGAGGUCAACCCCCCACAUUGGUACUAAGACACGGACCAAACUCCUACGGGAGGCAGCAG
rnacentral:rRNA from 1 species